rnacentral:rRNA from 1 species
AGCGAACGCUGGCGGCAGGCUUAACACAUGCAAGUCGAGCGGGCACUUCGGUGUCAGCGGCAGACGGGUGAGUAACACGUUGGAACGUACCCUUCGGUUCGGAAUAACGCUGGGAAACUAGCGCUAAUACCGGAUACGCCCUUUUGGGGAAAGGUUUACUGCCGAAGGAUCGGCCCGCGUCUGAUUAGCUAGUUGGUGGGGUAAUGGCCUACCAAGGCGACGAUCAGUAGCUGGUCUGAGAGGAUGAUCAGCCACACUGGGACUGAGACACGGCCCAGACUCCUACGGGAGGCAGCAGUGGGGAAUAUUGGACAAUGGGCGCAAGCCUGAUCCAGCCAUGCCGCGUGAGUGAUGAAGGCCUUAGGGUUGUAAAGCUCUUUUGUCCGGGACGAUAAUGACGGUACCGGAAGAAUAAGCCCCGGCUAACUUCGUG